rnacentral:rRNA from 1 species
GAUGAACGCUAGCGGCAGGCUUAAUACAUGCAAGUCGUGGGGCAGCAGGACUGUAGCAAUACAGUUGCUGGCGACCGGCAACCGGGUGCGGAACACGUACGCAACUUACCCUGAACUGGGGGAUAGCCCGGGGAAACCCGGAUUAAUACCCCGUAAUAUAAUGGAGUGGCAUCACUUUAUUAUUAAAGCUCCGGCGGUUCGGGAUGGGCGUGCGGCUGAUUAGGUAGUUGGUUGAGGUAACGGCUCACCAAGCCUACGAUCAGUAACUGGUGUGAGAGCACGACCAGUAACACGGGAACUGAGACACGGGCCCGACUCCUACGGGAGGCAGCAGUAAGGAAGAUUGGGCAAGGGAGGCAACUCUGACCCAGCCAUGCCGCGUGGAGGAUGAAGGCCCUCGGGGUUGUAAACUUCUUUGAGAGGGGACGAAACCUGUGUAUUCUUACGCAGUUGACGGUACCCGAGGAAUAAGCACCGGCUAACUCCGUG